ncrna:unclassified sequences xerDC RNA
GCUGUCUGCCGGCAGCACAUGGCACGCGCGGCCGCUGGCCGCAUCCGUCUGUGCGGUAGUGCCUGCCGCCGCUGUGGCCACUGGUCACAGCAGGGCGUUUUUGCGCCCCAUGCAGCAUCUUACUCACC